CGCAGUCGAGGUAGACGCAGAGAACUGAAACAUCUAAGUACCUGCAGGAAGAGAAAGAAAAUUCGAUUCCCUGAGUAGCGGCGAGCGAAACGGGAAAAGCCCAAACCAACAAGCUUGCUUGUUGGGGUUGUAGGACUCCGAUAUGGUAGUCUAUUCAGAUAGUCGAAAUACUUGGAAAAGUAUGUCAAAGAGGGUAAAAACCCCGUAGGCGAAAUUUGGAUAACACCUAGGAGGAUCCUGAGUACGGCGGAACACGAGGAAUUCCGUCGGAAUCCGGGAGGACCAUCUCCCAAGGCUAAAUACUCCCUAGUGACCGAUAGUGAACCAGUACCGUGAGGGAAAGGUGAAAAGCACCCCGGAAGGGGAGUGAAAUAGAUCCUGAAACCGUGUGCCUACAACAAGUUAGAGCCCGUUAAUGGGUGAUAGCGUGCCUUUUGUAGAAUGAACCGGCGAGUUACGAUAGCAUGCGAGGUUAAGUUGAAGAGACGGAGCCGUAGCGAAAGCGAGUCUGAAUAGGGCGAAUGAGUAUGUUGUCGUAGACCCGAAACCAUGUGAUCUACCCAUGUCCAGGUUGAAGGUGCGGUAAAACGCACUGGAGGACCGAACCCACGUACGUUGAAAAGUGCGGGGAUGAGGUGUGGGUAGCGGAGAAAUUCCAAACGAACUUGGAGAUAGCUGGUUCUCUCCGAAAUAGCUUUAGGGCUAGCCUCGGAAUUGAGAAUGAUGGAGGUAGAGCACUGUUUGGACUAGGGGCCCAUCUCGGGUUACCGAAUUCAGAUAAACUCCGAAUGCCAUUCAUUCAUAUCCGGGAGUCAGACUGUGAGUGAUAAGAUCCAUAGUCGAAAGGGAAACAGCCCAGACCACCAGCUAAGGUCCCCAAAUAACUAUUAAGUGGAAAAGGAUGUGGGGUUGCACAGACAACUAGGAUGUUGGCUUAGAAGCAGCCACCAUUUAAAGAGUGCGUAAUAGCUCACUAGUCGAGUGACCCUGCGCCGAAAAUGUACCGGGGCUAAAUAGUUUACCGAAGCUGUGGAGUGCACCAUCAGGUGCAUUGGUAGGAGAGCGUUCUAAGGGCGUUGAAGGCAGAUCGUGAGGACUGCUGGAGCGCUUAGAAGUGAGAAUGCCGGUAUGAGUAGCGAAAGACAGGUGAGAAUCCUGUCCACCGAAUGACUAAGGUUUCCUGGGGAAGGCUCGUCCGCCCAGGGUUAGUCGGGACCUAAGCCGAGGCCGACAGGCGUAGGCGAUGGACAACAGGUUGAUAUUCCUGUACCCGUUGUUUUUGUUUGAGCAAUGGAGGGACGCAGGAGGCUAAGAAGUGCAGACUGAUGGAUAUGUCUGUUCAAGCAGUAAGUCUUGGUAGGAGUCAAAUGCUUCUACCUAUACGGACAAGCUGUGAUGAGGAGGGAAAUAAUAGUACCGAAGCUUCUGAUGUCACACUGCCAAGAAAAGCUUCUAGUGAGAAAACAACGGCCCGUACCGCAAACCGACACAGGUAGUCGAGGAGAGAAUCCUAAGGUGAGCGAGAGAACUCUCGUUAAGGAACUCGGCAAAAUGACCCCGUAACUUCGGGAGAAGGGGUGCUGCUCUAACGAGCAGCCGCAGUGAAUAGGCCCAAGCGACUGUUUAUCAAAAACACAGGUCUCUGCAAAAUCGAAAGAUGACGUAUAGGGGCUGACGCCUGCCCGGUGCUGGAAGGUUAAGAGGAGUGCUUAGCGUAAGCGAAGGUACGAAUUGAAGCCCCAGUAAACGGCGGCCGUAACUAUAACGGUCCUAAGGUAGCGAAAUUCCUUGUCGGGUAAGUUCCGACCCGCACGAAAGGCGUAACGAUUUGGGCACUGUCUCAACGAGAGACUCGGUGAAAUUUUAGUACCUGUGAAGAUGCAGGUUACCCGCGACAGGACGGAAAGACCCCAUGGAGCUUUACUGUAGUUUGAUAUUGAGUGUCUGUACCGCAUGUACAGGAUAGGUAGGAGCCGUAGAGAUCGGGACGCCAGUUUCGAUGGAGGCAAUGGUGGGAUACUACCCUUGCGUUAUGGCCACUCUAACCCGCAGCCCUUAUCGGGCUGGGAGACAGUGUCAGAUGGGCAGUUUGACUGGGGCGGUCGCCUCCUAAAAGGUAACGGAGGCGCCCAAAGGUUCCCUCAGAAUGGUUGGAAAUCAUUCGAAGAGUGUAAAGGCAGAAGGGAGCUUGACUGCGAGAG
rnacentral:rRNA from 1 species